rnacentral:lncRNA from 1 species
UUCGGUAGCCGCGCUUUCCGGCGUUGGGGUUGCAGCUUCACCCUCGCAGACUCGGCUUAGCGAGCGAGUCGGUGCUUCCGCGGAUCAAAAUUAUUAGCCGUUUUAUUAGAGCCCAUUAAACGUUGCAUAAACAUGGUUCAGAGCUGCCUGGGAGAAGAAAAGCCAAAGGAUGCCACCCUCUCGAUUUAUCCCACCCGCGGGAGUCUGAAAGCCGACGCUAGGAGAAAUCCCGCGAAGGCCGCCCGGGAUCCUGGUAGAGGCGACGCUGUGUGCGUUUAUGGAGCGCUUGCGGUGCGUGGCACUAGGCUGGGUGUGGUGGGUGCUGCCGAAAAAAAGGUUCCUCCCAUCCAUUUGCACGUCACCCUUCCCACCUCCUGCCCAGAUGGACAGAAGUGAGGACAUUCAUCGGCCGCAUUUUACUAAUGGCAAGGAGAUAGCGACUGAAGGGCAAGAACCUAGGGUUUCCUGUCUUUGAUAUUUCUCAUCUUUGAGGUAAGUACACCUGGACAGUCCCUUCCUUCCUCCUCAGGGCUCAUGCUUUCUUGCCUAUCCAUGUAAUUAAUAUGAUCUGGCUAUCUUUGUCUUUGUUCCGAAACUUCAGCUGCAAAUGAAAGUGUAAGUUAGGUCUGAGUCUGCACUAUUGACCUAGCUAUCCUAGGUUAAGGGGGAUAAAAUAGGAAUCAAGAAGCCUGGCCCACUUGGGCUCCCAGCUCAAGUGCAUUCUGCAAUCCAGUUUAUAUUAGGCCUCCAUGUGGGUGGCUAUCCUUUAUCAAGAUCCCCCCCAGGGGGAGGAGGAUUAUUAGUCACAUUAUCAAACUCCCCUCCAACCCCUUUCUCUGCUUAGAGGUAUGUGUAAUGUGUAGUAGAAAGACCGAAUCCCCACCCAAAAGUCCUUACUGCUACUCAUGUUUUUAACCUUCUGUUCUUUUCCUCUACCCUACUCCCUAAUAAUGACCGCCAUCAUUUAUCUACUGCUUAAUGGAUACUAGGCACUGUGCUAAGGGUUUUAUGUUUUACUUCAAUCUUUUCAUCGGCUUUAUUUUGAUAGUUUGUUUUAUAGAGGAGGAAACAGACUUAGGUAAGUUACAAGAUGACAAGGUUACUACCUUAUUCAGUUAGUAGUCAGCAGCUAGUAUAUCCAAAGAUAGUACGAGUCAGAACUAGGAUUAUAAACUCAGGGCUACCUGAAACUCACAACUUCAGGCAUCUUUGAUUUCUUCUUUUCACCCACAGCCAAUUCUUCAACUAAAUUGUAUCCAUUCUGUUUUCACCGUCUCUUGUACUGGUCUCCUUUCUAUUGUAACUGUCACCAUCCUAACUCAAGAUCCUUCUGUAGCUUUCCCCGGUUAUUGGAAUAUCCUUAUUACGAUUGCCACCUUUUCUAAUCCAGUCUGUUUACUACUGCUGGGUUAAUUUCCCCAAACUGCAUGUCUGGGGAAUAACCUUGUGGUUAUGACAAAAUUCCCAAAGGAAAGCAAACUUGGCAAGGUGCAAAGACUAUGAAGACUUAGAACUUAAGAGUUCUAUGGAGAUCUUCAGAGAUAUAAAUUAGCUACUCAACAUAUCUGUUAUUCUGCCCUGAUUGCACUGUAAAGCAAAAGGAGAGAGGCCAUUAUGGGGAAAAAGAUCCAAAAGGACUCAUCUAAAACACAAGUUGGGUAGAGGAGAUAGGUGAGUACUAUUAUAUUAUGUUCAUGGAAAAUGAGUUCAUGGGCUUUCCUCUAAUUUUUAUUUUAAAAAUAAAUGUAAAUAUUAAAUAAAAUUUUUUAAAUG